rnacentral:rRNA from 1 species
UGCUAUACAUGCAGUCGAGCGGACAGAUGGGAGCUUGCUCCCUGAUGUUAGCGGCGGACGGGUGAGUAACACGUGGGUAACCUGCCUGUAAGACUGGGAUAACUCCGGGAAACCGGGGCUAAUACCGGAUGGUUGUUUGAACCGCAUGGUUCAAACAUAAAAGGUGGCUUCGGCUACCACUUACAGAUGGACCCGCGGCGCAUUAGCUAGUUGGUGAGGUAAUGGCUCACCAAGGCAACGAUGCGUAGCCGACCUGAGAGGGUGAUCGGCCACACUGGGACUGAGACACGGCCCAGACUCCUACGGGAGGCAGCAGUAGGGAAUCUUCCGCAAUGGACGAAAGUCUGACGGAGCAACGCCGCGUGAGUGAUGAAGGUUUUCGGAUCGUAAAGCUCUGUUGUUAGGGAAGAACAAGUACCGUUCGAAUAGGGCGGUACCUUGACGGUACCUAACCAGAAAGCCACGGCUAACUACGUGCCAGCAGCCGCGGUAAUACGUAGGUGGCAAAGCGUUGUCCGGAAUUAUUGGGCGUAAAGGGCUCGCAGGCGGUUUCUUAAGUCUGAUGUGAAAGCCCCCGGCUCAACCGGGGAGGGUCAUUGGAAACUGGGGAACUUGAGUGCAGAAGAGGAGAGUGGAAUUCCACGUGUAGCGGUGAAAUGCGUAGAGAUGUGGAGGAACACCAGUGGCGAAGGCGACUCUCUGGUCUGUAACUGACGCUGAGGAGCGAAAGCGUGGGGAGCGAACAGGAUUAGAUACCCUGGUAGUCCACGCCGUAAACGAUGAGUGCUAAGUGUUAGGGGGUUUCCGCCCCUUAGUGCUGCAGCUAACGCAUUAAGCACUCCGCCUGGGGAGUACGGUCGCAAGACUGAAACUCAAAGGAAUUGACGGGGGCCCGCACAAGCGGUGGAGCAUGUGGUUUAAUUCGAAGCAACGCGAAGAACCUUACCAGGUCUUGACAUCCUCUGACAAUCCUAGAGAUAGGACGUCCCCUUCGGGGGCAGAGUGACAGGUGGUGCAUGGUUGUCGUCAGCUCGUGUCGUGAGAUGUUGGGUUAAGUCCCGCAACGAGCGCAACCCUUGAUCUUAGUUGCCAGCAUUCAGUUGGGCACUCUAAGGUGACUGCCGGUGACAAACCGGAGGAAGGUGGGGAUGACGUCAAAUCAUCAUGCCCCUUAUGACCUGGGCUACACACGUGCUACAAUGGACAGAACAAAGGGCAGCGAAACCGCGAGGUUAAGCCAAUCCCACAAAUCUGUUCUCAGUUCGGAUCGCAGUCUGCAACUCGACUGCGUGAAGCUGGAAUCGCUAGUAAUCGCGGAUCAGCAUGCCGC